UACGUAGGGUGCAAGCGUUAAUCGGAAUUACUGGGCGUAAAGCGUGCGCAGGCGGUUAUGUAAGACAGAUGUGAAAUCCCCGGGCUCAACCUGGGAACUGCAUUUGUGACUGCAUAGCUAGAGUACGGUAGAGGGGGAUGGAAUUCCGCGCGUAGCAGUGAAAUGCGUAGAUAUGCGGAGGAACACCGAUGGCGAAGGCAAUCCCCUGGACCUGUACUGACGCUCAUGCACGAAAGCGUGGGGAGCAAACAGG
rnacentral:rRNA from 1 species